rnacentral:lncRNA from 1 species
GCAGAUAGAUAUCCAGGCAAUGGAGAACUAGAAUAAAAAAAGGAGGGCAGGUCUGAGGAUAAUAUAUCAUUGCAUAGAGUUAGGAGGAAAAUCCAAAAUGUUGCAGGGCCAACAGCAAAAUAUUUUUGUAAUUACUCUGUGGGUCAAAACACAAACUUUAGAUGGCUCCCCAGAGCACUAACACAGUUCUGCCCUGGUCUAGGCAGAAGAAAUCCCUCAAAAUAAUAAAUUGUUUCUGCCUACGAUAUGAUACUUCUUUGCAGAAGUAAAAUAGUAGCCAAUGCCUUACUAAAAUGCCCGGAGGGCCGGAAGCAACUAGGAAUGGAAAAUCAUCAAAGUAUCCAAACAAGAUGAAGAUUAGAAUAUACCUGCCAAACAUUAGCCCAAACUUCACCAUUUACAAAUUCUAGUUCAUUAAGGUAGUGUACUUCCUGAUUUUCGUAUUUUACAAUGUGUUUUGCAAUUACUGCAUCAAAACAAGAAAAAGGAAGCGACAUUUAAUUGAAAAAACGGUUUAUAAUCAACAUAAACAAAAGAUGUAUACAUCAAGAUUAAGUAGACUAACACAAACAAAAGAUCCAUACAUCAAGAUUAAGUAGGAAGUAGCACCAAACUAUAGACAGAUUCAAAGAUGGUAAAGAAAGAUAAUACUAUAGUCAUGUAUGGACAGAUAUUAAAGCUUAUUUUGACUGCCGUUCAAGAGAAAAAAAAAGUAAUAGCAUGGGGAAGAAACCACCAAAAAAGGUAAAAUAACGCUUAAAGAAGAAAAAUAAUACUAAAGAAGAAAGGAGCUGGAUUUUAGGCAGAAUUGAGAAAACAUUUAUAUAUAAGAGAAACCUUUCAAUGUUUGAGGGUCAAGCUGAUAUAACAUUGAAGUUCCAUCACUGCCAAACAAAACUUUUCCAUCGGUUGCCAGACCCCAACCAUCACGCAUCUGAUGAGUAAAUUUCUCAAUCUGCACCAAGUGAAUGAAAAUAAAAUUAUUAAACAUCUGGAAUCUGGAAAUUUUCAGCCACCCCAAGAAAAAAAAAGUGCACCUCAAUCAAAAAUAAGAAACCAAGUAAAAAAAAAAAAAUCUUAAUAAUAGCCUACAGUAUGGCAAUGGACGGGUAACAAUUUGUAAUAAAGCUACCAACCGGUAGAGAGUGCAAUUCUAUGCGUAGGAAGCUGAGCACAAUUGUAAGAAGCCAGCAUUGGCGUAUCACACAAAUCAAAUCAUUUGAAAAGAAUAUAUAUAAAAAAAAACAAGCAAGGUUUUUAGAAUCCAUAGAGUGAGGCAACAUUGCACCAUGUUAGCAAGAGGAUGAAGGGUACAUAAACAAAAUGAAAUUUCGAAGAAACAUCUAAGAAAUGCCAUACUUGGAUCAGAAAUAAUGACAGGAGAAGAAUAAUCAGACAGAAUAAUAACAGCAAUACAAGCAUAUAUAAUAUGUACACACACUUGAAACAGAAAUGGUAAAGCACAAACUUUGCUUAAAUUGUUUCGAUCAUAUAUGAAACCAGUUUUUGUCAACCAAGUUACUUGGAACAGCCUACAAAAGAACAUAAAAAUUGGUAUAUUAGCAUAUUAGUUUUUCAAGUAUUCACACAGCUGCAUAUGAAAAUAAUCAACAAUCAAGAAAACCAUUUGCCAGCAACUGAAGGAACUAAAAACAAUUAAACUGGAUCCAAAGCGUGCUGUGAGUCAGUCCUUGCACAUGCACAGCAAUCCAUUAUUCUAAUAAGGUUCUUUGGACUUUUCAGAAGUAUCCAACUAAUUUUCCAGGCAGAAAGAGACAAGUGAAAUCAUGUCAUUGUUCAAAGGUCAAAACAAAACAUAUAUAAUGAAUGAAAAAAGUACAAAUGCUCAACAUCAGUUAUACUUUUCAAGUUUCUCUUUUCCUGUGUCAGUUUGACCCUUUUAUUCACUAAUACAAUGUAAAUCUUACCAAACAAGUAUGUAUUCACUACAAACUCAAGUGCAAAGCACAAAACUUGGGACUCAGGAAUACUAAAUUGGUCACAUGAGACAUAAGAUAUUAACCAUAUAUUAGGUUCAGAGAAUGAAAAGCAGAGGAACAAAUAACAAUUUCGUUUAUUUGCUUGUGUGGAAUGAUAUCUAAGAAAGCAACGAGGAAUUUCCCUACAUCAUUUUGCAUUAUGUUUAUUGCAAUCUAGUUAAGACCAAUAUGGAUAUAAGCAAUCAAUCAUCACACUAUUUGUUCAACUGAAGAAGUGCUAAAUCUCAAGGAAUACCCGAAGGAUGUGAACAAUGCCAGUGUAAACCUAUUUUUCCUGAAUCAACAGGAUAACCAAAAUGCAACUCAGUCACAAACCUUUCACCAAGAAGAGUUAAACCUUCCCCAAAAUAAGAACUAUCCAUCUCUUGAAGAACCUCAACCUGUACAUAGUACAUAACAUAAGGUUUGAAUUAAAAUCAAGCUUCAUACACUCUUAAAAGUUCAAAAUAAGAAUUGAUUAACUAAUCAAUCAGUCAGAUCAUCAGCCAUCUAUACAAGAGAAUCAGUAGUAUGCUUACAAAUAAAAUUCAUCAAUUAUAAAGGCUGAACACAAAUAGCUUAUUUCAAACUAAUAUAUCAUCACUUAAAGCAGAUAUUGCAAAAGGUUUCACCAUGAGAAAAAUAUUUCUCAAACGUUAAUUGGAAGCAUCAAAACAAUGAAUUGCAAAUAGAAAGCACGUCAAAAUUCUUCAGGGAAUCAGGAGAAUCUGAAUGCUAGAGACAUGUACCUCCCCAGAGUGAAGAGCAACCCUCCGAACUGAUGACUGGAAUAACACAUCGAGAAGGUUUAGUAAUGAAUACACCAGACUAUAUGUGAAUGCAAGAAAAACAAAGACAUCAUGCUGUUCAGAAAUCCGAAUGCUAUGUAUUCAAAGAGAAAGCAAACCCACCUGGCCAUAGAGGCCCGUUGACUCAAAUAUUGUAUCGUUUCCUGCGUAAAGCAGACCCUGAAACAAUUGCAAAUUAACGUUAAUCGUCGAAGGGGAAUACGCACACACAAUAUGGAAUUCAUGAACAAGGAAGCAAUAGAGUUUGCUUAACAAGUUGCAAUGGACUCUGACAUAAAUGUGAUAGUUAGAGAUCCAAAUCAAAGUAAAUCAAGCUCUAAGGAUGAUUACCAUCAAAACAUGAAACCAGAAAGUGACGAAAUCUACAACGUUCCGCAUUACAAUGGAUUUGAAUACCAAGGACACCAAAUUUCCCAUUUAUGAUCAAAAAAGAGAUGGAGAUAAAAGAGUUACCUGAGUGAAGGAGUUGGGGUCGUGAGGGAACUCAUUGAGCACUUGAAUUGCAUAGAAUUUGGGGGAAUGAUCAGUGGACGUUAAAGUGCUCCACAUGACUGAUGAAAUGCCCAGUAGAGCGACAACGGCGAAGGCCAUAACCAAUAAAACAAGCAGCGGCACUUUCGUAAAACUGAAAUGAGAAGAUGCAGAUGGCAUGAUAUUGUCUGGCUUGGAGGCUGAUCGCUUGCUCUUGCUAGACCUCUUAUUGAGCGAUUUGGCCCCCAUAAAGGAAAAUGUUCAUUGUUCGUGAAGCAGAGACGGAAGGGUUUGAGAAGAGAAAUUUGGGGAGGGUGAUCGACUGACCGGAAUUGGCUAACUGUAGGCGUUAGCUGUCUUUGUGUGGUUGGUUGGUCAGUGAAUUUUUGUUGACCAAUUUCUCCAAUUUGUAAUUUCAAAAAAAAGAAAUCGAUUUUCCUGCCGAUGUGUCUUUAAUCAGGUGCGGUCAUUACCAUGUCUUCAAGACCUUCCCCGCCGGUGUCUUUUCAAUGGCGAGAUCCGACCUUUCGUGCUUAGUCUAGUCUCUUUUUUCAAAAAAAUACCACUCGUUAUAUCAAAAAACUCACUUUUAUGAUUUUAAAAAAUAUAUUAAAAUUUUUUAAAAUUUUUUUAUUAAUUUUAAUGAUUAGAUAUUAUAAAAAAAUUUAAAUUAUUUUGACUUUUUUUAUAUUAAGAUACCAAUUAUUAAAUUUUUAAAAAUUUAAAAAAUAAAAAUUUUUAAAAUUAUAUUAAUUAAUUAUUAAAAUAUUUGUGAUAAAAUUAAUAGAUAAAUUAAUUAAUAAUUUUUUUAAAAUAUUAUAUAUAUUUUAAAAUUGAGAAAUUAAUCAAUUUUAUUAUUAAUUAUAAAAAUUAAAUAAUGAUUUUUUUUUCUUAGAUAAAUUAUCCACGGUUUUAAGUCAUCAAUCGUUUCACCUUAAUUGUAUUUCGCAAAUGACAUAUGUAAAAACAGAGAAAUAAUAUUAUUCAAAAGAAAAAAAAAAACAGAGAAAUAAUGAUGAUGCAGAAAUGAAUUAAUUAUGAUCAUGAGAAAAUGUGGUGGUUGACUUCAUGUCUAGUAUCGUUACAUUAUGGAAAUGGAACUUUUCAAGUAAGGUGAGUAUAAAUAAAAUAUUUAAGUUUAAAUAAGAGUGUAUUGAAGUUUAUAUUUUAAAUUUUAUAUAUAUUUUAUUUUUAUACUGUAAUAAAAUAAAAUUAAUAGUUAAAUUUUUUUAAAUUUUAAUUAAUAUCAUUUAAUAAAUAAGAUAUCCCAUUAAAUAUAAUGAAAUUUAUUGUAUAACGUUUUUUAAUAUUAAUAAUAUAUGACAAAAGUUUCGAUCUGAGUUUUUCACUAAACUAAAUAUCGAUCAAUUAUAUGUUAUAUGAUUCAAUUAUAUAUUAACAAUAAAUUAUUUACUUUAAAUAUAUUUGAGCCAUAUCAAAUAAUAUUAUUAUAAUUUUUGUAUAUUUUUCAAUUUAUUUUAUAAAUUUAAUUAUAUUUAUGUUUUAAUAUUUUUUUAUUAUAGUUAUUUUUUAAUUUAUUUAUGACAUUAAGUCCAAAUAUAUGCCCCCCAAUCUCUUAUUCGGAGGCCAAAUCACUCCAUUUUCAGGUUUUAGUUCAAAUAAACUAAACUCUUUACAAAAAAGGCCAAAUUAAGACUUUCAAUAUCAAAAUCUUAGCAUUUGAAAUGCACACCCCAUUGAAAUUAAUAAAAAAAAUUGAUUUGACUAAUAAAUGAGUAUGAAAAUAAGAUUUUAAGUAUAAAACCCUAGUCAUACUACUAUAAUAGAAAGAAGAAAUCGAUCAUUCUCUUGCAAAACUACACAGUUGGAAUUUCUUAAAAAAAUUAGGGAUUUUGAUUUGGAAAAAAUGUCUUAGUUCUAUUCCUUAAGUAGCAGCUACUAUUUUUCCAUGUUUAGGCGCCACCUCAAAGCUCUAUGGUCCUGAUUUCUCAUAUGAAGGUGAAGAGAAGAUGUGUCAAUGGAGUCGGAAAGCACCAAGAUAGGUUGCUUCGACUGAACAAAAUGUUGGAAGAAUGUUUUAUACUUGUAGUCGUGUCCAGGUAAUGUGGCUGUAAUUUUUAAUGUUUAUUUUGCAUAAAUUUAAAAGAAACAACAGACGUACUGAUACUUAAUUUUGUGUUGUUUGUUUAUCUUUCUCAUUUGGUAAUUAUUUGUGAUGCUUAAUGUAAAAUAGUUUUAAAGAAUUUAAUCUAUUUAAGAUUAUGCCAGUUUUUAAUUUGUUUUAUUUGAAUAUAUAAAAUAUACUCAUGGUAUUCCUCUCGUUUAUUUCUAAGACUUCACAAAUAUUAGAAAUCAACUCUAAAGUAUCAAGUGAUUCAUACUUGACAAUUGCCCAUGCUAUUGGAUACAUAUUGUUGUUAGCGUCUCUUGCGAUUGCCGAAAUCAGCUCAUCUUUGCAAGUAGUUUUCAAUAAACAUCCAUCAAGACCAAUCACAAGCCUACAAUUAGCUAACCAUCCCUUAUUUAAAGCAUAAAAGUUUGUGUAAACCUGAUCAAAUUAGUUGAUUUCAUUUUCAGCUUCCAAUAUGACGGUUGUUCCAGAGUUAGAAAUUCUUAUUUCUUCAGCGUAGUCUCAUAACUGACUAUACUCAACCUUGUAAUUGUUGGGAAAUCCCGAGAUUAAUUGCAAUCCAAUUGCGCAGUGGAAAAAUAAAAUUUUGGAUUUCCUUUCCCAGAAUCCGAGUGCUUCGUUUAAUUAACAAGAUGGAUGUAAUACCCGGCUAGACUCCGGUAUCGGAAUCCCUACCGUCCGGUGGGACCUCGGAUGUCGGAAACCUCUAGAAGGGUAAAACUAUGAUUUUAUGAAAUGUUUUCAUGUAUUUCAUGUUUUUAAGUAAGAAAUUAAAUGAGUUUUUGCAUGAAAAAUCUUUGGAGGAAAACCCAGGUUCGGCCGCCGAACUCUGAAGUUCGGCCGCCGAACCUUGCAUGUAUGCGGAGGCACUUUCGGCCCCCGAACGUGGCCUGGCCAGCCAUCUAUAAAAGGGGCACUUAGCCGAAAUGGGAGAGUUUUCUCCCAUUUUCAGCCACAACAAGCUUCCGACCUCCCUCUCCCAAAUCUUGUGUUUUUCCUUCAAUCCCCACCAUUUUCUUUGAGUUUUAAGGUUCCACAAAAGUUUUUGAGUGUUUUUAAGCAAGUUUGGAGCUUGGAAGUCUUGGAGCUAAAUCCCUCCAUUUUCCGAGCUAGGGUCGUUCUUCCUCUCGAUCUUCAAGAGGUAAGCUUCGAUCUAUGCUUCCUUUAUGUUUUAUGAAAGUUUUAUGCAAGUUGAUGGGGUAGAAUGCAUGUUUAGGCUUGUUGUUAGGUUUAUGGGUUUAUGUUGUGAUUUGAACAAUGUAUGUUGGAAAUGUGUUGUAGUUGGGGUAUAUUAUAGUUUGAGACCCCUAGGUGUGAAGUAUGAUGUGUAUGCAUGUGUAGAAACAAGUUUAUGCAUGUUUUGAGGCGUUUUGGAGGCUUGGACACAAGGGAGCCAAGUUUCUGCCCUUCGGCAGAAACUCAGGUUCGGCCGCCGAAGUGACUUUCGGCCGCCGAACCCCCUUGUGGAGGCAGUUUCGGCUGCCGAAGCCUGCCCCCGAAACUCAAGUUUCGUCUCUGUCUGGGAGGUUCGGCCGCCGAAAGUGCCGCCGAACCUGCAUGACUUUCGGCUGCAGAGGGACUUUCGGCUGCCGAACCUGCCGCCGAAAGUGCCCUGUUCAGCCAUUUCUUGCAUGUUUUCGUGCGAUGUUUUCAGGAUGUUUUAGGGGGUUUUUGGGGAGUAUUUUAGAGUCAUAUUCAUGUAUGUUUGGUCCCUCAUUUGAGUCCACCUGUGUAGGUUCGGACCCGAGGAACCGAGACCCCCAGCAGUGAGCCAGCUGCUUCAGAGUCUCUUCAGAGCUAGCCAGAGGUGAGUGGAAUAAACUUUAAGUUUAAAGCAAAUUAAUGAAAUGUUUUAGCAUGAUUCACGCAUCAUGAAUGCCAUGAGGUAUAUUAGGUCGUUUGCAUUAGAAUUCACGAAUAUGUUGCAUUGCAUACUUUGUUGUUGAUGUGGAUGAAUGUUGAAUGAUCCAUUAGCCCUUGUAUGUCAUGAUAGCCUAUGUGAGUCCAGGUGUGCCUGCUACGGCUCUACGCCCCUUGCACUAUGACAGAUUAUGGAAGUCCGGGUGUGCCUGCUACGGCUCUACGCCCCCGGCAUGUAUAAGUAAGAAAGAUAGGGGCUAAAUGGUGAUAAGUUCAUCCUUGUUGUGAAAUGUUUGUGUUAUGGCGCAUACAUGAAAGCAUGAUUUAAAUUGAUGUUUUAUUAUUCUGCUCACUAGGCUCUAGUAGCUCACCCCACUCCCUUUAUCCCCAGAGUUGCAGGUACAGGAUAGAUCAGGAAGUCGGCUAGAGUGAAGUUAAGUCAUGUAUGUUGUAAUAGAUAGUAGUGGACAUGAACAUGAUGUAAUGAGUAUUUAUGACUAUGUAAUGUAAUGGAUGAUUUGAUGAUGUAUUGAGGAUUAUAGUAGUGCUUGACCUAGAGGUGUGUGAAUCCCCAUUAUGUACAGAGUGUUUAAUGAGUAACGAUGUUAAUGACCAUGAUUAUCCAAGCUGAUAUGUAUGAUGAUGAAACCCCAUUGGAGUAUUUGAUGAGGACUCCAGUGUGGGGUUUAUGUAUGAUUUUGUGCAUGUACAGGUUUUGCUUGGAUAAGAGAAAAGAAAAUUUUUUUACAGAUCAUGUAUAUGUUGUUAUGUAUGGGAUUCCACAGGUUUACAGGAGGUAUGUAGGCUUGCUACGGGUCCCGGCGGCCUUAAGCCGAUCUGGAUCCUAGCGCCGGUAACGGGUCGGAUUUCCGGGUCGUUACAAUGGAUAUGAGACUAACCUGUUAAUCUCGUCAAGAAGAUACAAUGGCGGACUGAUGGUGCUGCCUUUUCAAACGAACACCCUCUAUGGUAUCCACACGAACGUCUUCUAUCCUUGUAGAGUGCUAGCUCUCUCAAAGAUGGAUAGAUUAUGUGCUCCACAAUCUGCAAUCUUUUAGACUGAGUUUUCUCAAAAAUCUCAUCACUCCUAAAUUCGUAGUAAGAGUAUUUAUAGGUUUCAGUCUCUUAUUUUUACACAACUCCUUUUCCUAAAAGGAGUUGUAUUUUUCCCACAAUUCUUUUCCUAAAAGAAUUGUACAACUCUUUUCCUAAAAGAAUUGUACAACUCUUUUCCUAAAAGAAUUGUACAACUCUUUUCCUAAAACAGUUGUAUUCAGAACCCAUUAUCACAAUCUCACAGAUACUCAAAUAUCUUUAUGUGAUAGAGUCCUUUAUCUGUAACAGUUACAGAUAGACUGCAGAUCUUUUAAAUAUUAUUAUCUCAUAAUAAUAAAUAAUUAAUAAUAAUAACACUUUAUUAUUAUUAAUUAAUAUUAAUAAUAAUAACACUUUAUUAUUAUUAAUUAAUAUUAAUAAUAAUAACAUUUUAUUAUUAUUAUUAUCUCAUAAUAAUAAAUAAUUAAUAAUAAUAACACUUUAUUAUUAUUAAUUAAUAUUAAUAAUAAUAACACUUUAUUAUUAUUAAUUAAUAUUAAUAAUAAUAACAUUUUAUUAUUAUUAAUUAUACUAAUGGGCUUCUAGCCCAUUAAUAUAGCACAUCAACAACGUUCUUGUAUGUGAUCCAAUAGGCUCAUAUUAAUUGGCAUAGGCUCAGUCCAACAAGGCCUAUAAAUCAUAAGUGACCUCUAGCAAGACAUUAUGACUACCCAACUAAUAUGAGGAUCAAUAGUCCGAUAAAGCCUAUUAAAUAGAACAUGUAUUAAUCCCUUUGUCUCACGAUAUCUAGUUUGAACAUAAGUUAUGGUCAAUGUCAAACUUAUAAUGUUCAAACUUAUGAUUUCUCGAUCUCUAAGUAGACUGAUAAAUUCAAAUGAUAUUGAUCACACUAUCAAUUCAUUUGAGCACGGCCAUGCAUUUCUCAGUCUCACUUAUCGAGGGGCCCAGAAGAUAUCUCUCUCAUAGAGAGGGACAAAUCCUAUCUUGAUUGUUCAUUAUCCUCUACAUAAUUUCUAUUAUACUCAAUCAUAACCUUUAUGAUUAUCCGAUUAAAGACAACGUUUGAUUAUGUCAAAACAUAAUAGUUCUUAUGUUGGAAACUAUGACAAUCUCAAGUCAAAGGAUUAAGACAUAACUACUUUGAGAUUCACUUAUGAUAAUAACCCAUGUAGUGAUCUCAGUGCGGGUCCAUCCAAUACUUUGUUCUCUAACAAGUAUCUAUGAUUAUUGAUUAUAUCAACAUAUACAUAAUCAUCUCAUGAUUAUCAAUCAAUAAUCAUACUAGUUAUAUAUUUAUUAUUAUCAACAUAAUAAUAAGUAACCAGGGAUGAUAAUCAUUAUUAUGUAACAUGCAAACAAAUAAUAAUAAUAAUAAAAAACCUCGAAAAUGACAUACAAAUAGGUCCAAGAUAAUGGCCUAGGGCAUAUACACUAACAAUCUCCCACUUGCACUAGGCGUAAUCAUAUAAGUAUCUAAUACCCAUAGACCUAGUGUACUGAUCAUGCUUGACCUGUGAAAGAGGCUUGGUAAGUGGAUUUGCAAUGUUGUCAUUUGUGUCUACUUUGCAUAUUUUGAUAUCUCCUCUAUCAAUGAUCUCUCGAAUAAGGUGAUAUCGCCUGAGUAUAUGUUUAGAUCUCUGGUGAGAUCUGGGCUCCUUUGCCUGUGCUAUGGCACCGUUAUUACCAUAAUAAAGGUCCAUAGGAUUUGCAAUGCUGGGAACCACUCCCAACUCUGUGAUGAACUUUUUCAUCCAGACUGCCCUUUUAGCUGCAUCUGAUGCUGCUAUAUUCUCAGCUUCUAUUGUAGAAUCUGCUAUACUGCUCUGCUUGGAACUCUUCCAACUAACAACUCCACCAUUUAAAUUGAAUAUGAAUCUUGACUGCGAUCUGAAGUCAUCUAUGUCGGUUUGGAAACUAGCAUCUGUGUAACCAUUUACAACUAGCUCGUCUUCCAAACCUCCAUAAACUAGGAAUGCAUCCUUAGUCCUUCUAAGGUACUUUAGGAUAUUCUUGACAGCUGUCCAGUGACUCUCACCGGGAUCUGCCUGAUAUCUGCUUGUUGUGCUCAAGGCAUAUGAGACGUCUGGCCUAGUACAUAACAUGGCAUACAUGAUAGAUCCAAUAGCAGAAGCAUAAGGAAUCUUAUUCAUUCGUUCUCGCUCAUCAGAUGUCAUAGAACAUUGAUUCUUGCUGAGAUGAAUACCAUGAGACAUGGGCAAGAAUUCUCUUUUGGAAUCUUGCAUGCUAAACCUUUUUAGCACCUUGUCAAUAUAAGUACUUUGACUCAGACCGAUUAUCCUCUUGGAUCUAUCCCUAUAGAUCUUAAUACCAAGGAUAUACGUAGCCUCACCUAAGUCCUUCAUUGAAAAAGAAUUCCCUAAUCAAGUUUUAACCUUUUGCAAGGUAGGGAUAUCAUUUCCAAUGAGUAAUAUGUCAUCCACAUAUAGGACUAGAAACACAACUGCACUCCCACUAACCAUCUUGUAAAUACAAGGUUCAUCUUCAUUCUUGAUGAAUCCAAAGUCUCUGACUGUCUCAUCAAAACGAAGAUUCCAGCAGAUCUGCGUGGGACUUGUGUCACCCUUUCAGUCUCCACAAUUGUUUGUGGUUCUGAAAGUGGUUCUAUUGGCGGUUCAAUGCUCUCUUGUGGUGCUUGAGUUUCCUCAAGUCGCACUGUACUCCCACUGAAUCUCUGAGAGAUAAAUUCCUUUUCUAAAAAGGUACCAUUUCGAGCAACAAACACUUUGUUCUCUGAGGGAAUAUAGAAAUAGUAUCCUUUGGUUUCCUUAGGAUACCCCACAAAAUUGCACUUGAUAGAUUUUGGAGCUAGCUUAUCUAAAAUUGGGUGUUUCACAUAAGCCUCACAACCCCAAAUCUUAAGAAAAGACAAACUGGGCAUUUUCCCAGUCCAUAACUCAUAUGGUGUCUUUUCAACCGCUUUUGAUGGUACUCGGUUUAGAAUGAAUGCAGUUAUUUCCAAGGCAUAACCCCAAAACGAUAAAGGGAUAUUUGUUUGAUUCAUCAUAGAUCGAACCAUAUCUAAUAAAGUUCUAUUUUUCCUUUCAGAAACACCAUUCCAUUAUGGAGUUCCUGGAGGAGUUAAUUGUGAAACAAUUCCACAAUUUCUAAGAUGUUCAUUAAACUCUUGGCUCAAAUAUUCACCACCUCGAUCGGAUCGAAGCAUCUUAAUAGUUCUACCAAGUUGAUUUUGUACUUCAUUUUGAAAAGUUCUAAACAUUUCAAAAGAUUCAUGCUUAUGUUUCAUUAGGUAGACAUAGCCAUACCUACUGAAAUCAUCAGUGAAUGUGAUGAAGUACUGAUAACCUCCCCUAGCACUAAUGCUUAGUGGGCCACAUACACAUACAUCUGUAUGUAUUAAGCCCAAUAAGUCUGAAGCCCUUUGACCUUGUCCAGUAAAAGGGUCCUUUGUCAUCUUACCUAGCAAACAAGAUUCACAAUUUUCAAAUGAUUCAAAAUCAAAUGAAUCUAAUAAACCAUCUUUAUGGAGCUUAGAUACGCGAUUCUCAUUUAUAUGGCUAAGACGACAGUGCCAUAAAUAUGUUGGGUUUAACUCAUUUAGCUUAGUUUUCUUAGAAGUUAUGUUAUAGAUAUUGUUGUCUCUAGAAUCAUCUAGAUUAAGGACAUAAAGGCCAUCAUAUGAAUUUGCAAUACAAUAAAGCAAAUCAUCUUUAUUCUUAAUAAGAAAUGAAAAAACCUUCAUCGUCCAAAAUAGAAACUGAAAUAAUAUUCCUACUCAAAAUAGGAACAUAAAAGCAAUUGUUCAGAACUAGCAAAAACCCAUUGGGCAAUACAAGUUCAUAUGUCCCUACAGCUAUGGCAGCAACUCUUGCUCCAUUGCCUACACGUAGGUCCACAUCGCCCUUUUUCAGUUUUCUACUCCUUUUGAGACUCUGCACAUUUGUACAAAUGUGAGAACCAUAUCCGGUAUCUAAUACCCAUGAAGUAGAAAUAGAUAAAUUAAUAUCUAUAACAUAAAUACCUGAAGUCGUAGUCUCACUACUCUUCUUCUUCUUGCACUCAUCCAAAUAGAGUUUGCAAUUUCUCUUCCAAUGCCCUGGUUCCUUGCAAUGGAAGCAAAUUCCUUCCUUAGGAACUAUUUCCUUAGGAACUUUUGCCUUGGAUUGCCAUUUAGGCUUGCCACGUCCUUUAGGCCCAUUACCACCUUUGGGCUUGGGCUUCCCCUUAUUUUUCAUGGGCUUACCCUUAUUGACAUUCAAAAUUUGGGAAGGUCUUUUCUUAAUAUUUACCUUAGCUGUUUUUAGCAUCCCAUGCAGCUCAGGAAUGGAUUUCUCCAUGUUGUUCAUGUUAUAGUUCAUGACAAACUGAGAAAAACUGCCAGGUAAAGAAUGUAGGAUCAAAUCCGUGGAGAGUUCUAAACUCAGAGGAUAGCCAAGCCUAGCAAGGUGAUCAAUGUAGCCUUUCAUCUUUAAAACAUGAGCACUAACUGAAUCACCUUCAGCCAUGUUAUAAGUUAUAGAAAGUAAAUAUGUUAAUAUAGGAAGUAAAUAUUGAUAGAUGGGUCAGUUGCUUAAUUUUAGGGAUUGUAUAAUCAUAGGCUUGAUUUUCCUUCCUAUUUAGAUACCGUCUCUCAUGUAUAAAUAAGUUGUAAUCUCUAUUGUGGAAAAUAACAAAUAUUAUCUCUUUAUAUGGUAUCAGAGCCUUUCUCGUAGAGAUCUAAUUUUUUUUUCCCUCUCUCGUCAAGUGUUAAAAUUUUUUUUUUUUUUGGAGACUUAGGUCUCUGUUUAUUUGGGUUAUCCAUAAAGGGUAACAUUUGUAUCUCACCAUCGUUGGAGUCGCCACAUCAACCCCUUCUCAGAUCUGAGGUUUGGGUACCGUUCGGGUGUUGGGUGGAGGCGUACUGUUCAUCGACACUGUUCACGGGUACUGUUUAUCGGCACUGUUCACGGGUACUGGUCAUCGGUACUGUUCACGAGUACUGUUCACGGUUACUGUUCACGCCGGUACUGUUCACGCUGGUACUGUUCACGCCGGGUACUGUUUUCUGAUUCUGUGUUUCUUUUGUUGCUAUCGUUUUGGAUUGGUUGUCCUUAUGACUGAAGUUAAAACCACCAUCGUAACUAAUGUGAUUCCUAUGAUGAGUAAAAUCACGGAACACAAAUUGAAUGGAUCUUCCGAUCAGGGAAUUUUGAUAUCUGCAGAUGAGUAUGCACAAUUCAUCCAAUACCGAGCAUCUCUAAAAUCCUCUAAUUCCUCCUCUAUCACUGCAAUUGCCGAGUCAGGUAACUCUACUGCAUGUCUUGUGUCUUCAUCCUCCAAAUGGGUUAUUGAUUCUGGUGCUACCGAUCAUAUGUCAGGUAAUUCUAGCCUUUUGUCCAAUCUUGAGUCUCAUACAUCGCCUUCUUAUGUUACUCUUGCUGAUGGCACUAAAUCUUCUGUUAUUGGUUCUGGUCAUGUCAACUUAACCCCUGCUCUUUCUGUAUCCUCGGUGUUAUGUCUCCCUAAGUUCGCAUUUAAUUUGCUUUCCGUUAGUAAACUCACUCGUGCAUUGAAUUGUUGUGUCUCAUUCUUUCCUGAUCACUGUAUUUUUCAGGAUCUUUCGACGAAGCAGAUUAUUGGUAGAGGGAGUGAGUCAGAGGGUCUUUACUUCUUGGAUCAGCAACUACCUCGAUCUCCUCGAUCUCUGGUAUGCUCUAUGCGUUUAACACCUUUUGAUGUUCAUUGUCGUUUGAGGCAUCCUUCUCUCUCGGCUUUGAAGAAGUUAUAUCCACAGUUUCAUUCUUUGUCUAUUCUAGAUUGUGAGUCUUGUCAAUUUGCCAAACAUCAUCGUUUACCUACACUACCUCGAGUCAAUAAACGGGCUUCGUCCCCCUUUGAGUUAGUCCAUUCAGAUGUUUGGGGUCCUUGUCCUAUUGUGUCUAAGCCUGGCUUUAAGUACUUUGUUACUUUUGUUGAUGAUUUCUCUCGUACUACUUGGUUAUUUUUAAUGAAGAGUCGUUCAGAAUUAUUUUCUAUUUUUUGUGCAUUUUAUGCUGAAAUCCAAACCCAAUUUAAUACUUCCAUCCGUAUAUUGCAAAGUGAUAAUUGUAACGACCCGGAAACUGGUACCCCGCUGUAACGGCCCGAACCAUCACUGGCACUAGGAUCCAGAUUGGCUUAAGGCCGCCGGGACCCGUAGCAAGCCGACUAUACUCUCUGUGUACCUGAUAAAAUCCCAUACAUGAUACAAAACGACUCAACAAUCCUGUAAAACUCUGUAGGCUUAACUACUGCUACUCAGAUAUGUCAAUCUGAAAUGGCCCUCAGGGCCUAUACCAGGGACUACUAUCUGCUGUGAUUCAAGGGAUUUAAACCCUUUUAAUCUGUAACACAUCCCACUGGUAGCUCAUCGAAGCCAUACAUUAAGCCUAACUCACACAUUUCUCAUCAAGAAACGUAAAACAGGAUUCAUGUAUAAGGGAUUAAUCAUACAUCACACUAUAGCAAUGACACUAGGGAAAUCACAAGUCUAUCCAGUAUAUUCUAUACAUUACAUUACAACGACGCUGUUAAGUACAUCAUGUCUAUAUGCAACUCUACCCUUAACUUCUUUAAACGUUUUAUAAAUCAGUAAAAGCAGUUCAAAACCUUCCCUUACCUUCUGAAGAAGAGGAACAACCUGAAAGCUGAUCUAUGGACCAACACCUCUUCAAAAGCUCCAAACCACCAAACCUCUCCUUUUGACCCAAAGCCUUCAAAAUCACUUGCAAAAUAACCAAACCUGUGCAUGGGGUGAUAAACCCCUGCAGAUGACUCAUGAGAGACGUGGCCUAAUCCUCUGUCUGUGAUGCCAAAUCAACACCUGGCCAUUUCACCGACGGAGGAGUGCAUAAUAGCUGGCUGACCAACUCAACUUCGGCUGCCGAAUCGCAUGCAAAACCAUGCAACAUUCGGGGGCCGAACUUUAACGUCGAGGGCCGAACAUUGGGCACUUUCGGCGGCCGAACUUUACCUUCGGCGGCCGAACAUGGCAAAAUGCCUCCUUGGCCUUUUCUCUUCAAAACUCAAUACCUUUAAAACACUUAAAAACAUGUUAGAAAACUUUCUCUUACCCUUCCAGAAACCUCUGACAUCCUCGAAUUCCACCGGACAGUAGGAAUUCCGAUGUCUGAAUCUAGCUGGGUAUUACAUUCUUCCCCCCUUUAAGAACAUUCGUCCUCGAAUGUUUAAAACAACAAGAAACAUAUAUGCAAACAAGCAAUUAAGGAAAGCCUAACACCUUCCUCUGAUAAGAGACACAGAUACCACUGGAGUAAAUACUCCCGGGUUAUCUAUACUUUCUGACUCUGCUGACCCUUAACUGCUUAAUCUGUGUCCACACUCUACACUGAUUACUUACCACUCCUGUCUGUACACAGUCAACUUGACUCUCUUCUCUAACCACUGACUUUCCUUUCUCUUUAACUUUUCUCAGCUCUAUUCACACUACUCUGGUUAUACUCACCUUUGCUUCUCUUUACUCAACCCGAUCAGAGGAGCACCAACUCUAAGGAAAUGCUAGAUACCUUGCCUAUAGCUUUAACUGUCUACCUCCUUUCGAUUCACACAGACAUGCCCCAAAAUCGAACUCGUAUGAUAGAACUUGGCCUCUAUGCCGUGUUCUCUUAAAAUCUACAACACGUAGUAGAUACUGGGCAUGCUUCUGCUGGUUUUCUAAACUAUUCUACGCUUUUGUUGCGCCACUCUGACCCUUGCCCGCCUUUCUUCUUCUUUCCUAUACUGGUUUCUUCUCUAACUCUAUCUCUAACUUUCAACAUCUAGUUCCCACCUCUUAGAUCUAUCGUGGAGGAUAAUCAGCUCCUACUAGCUGUCUCCACCGAUCAUUACUCCUGCAUGGGAACACCUGUCCUUGGUAGUGACCUUGUGCAACUGUUCACAGUUGUGACAAAGUCUCAAGGUUUCAUCCUUUGUGUCUCACAACACCACUGGAAUAUUCCAGGGUGUGGUACUAAGUCGGCUAGAAGCCUUCGCUACCAAGUUCACACUGUUCUACUAUUUUUCUCACUUAUGCAACUGCUUUUCUAACUCUUACAACUUUUCAACUCUUACAUGCUACAGGUACCACUUCAAAGGAAGAGGUGAAGAUGAGUCUAGUCUCCAUUCUCACUUAACUUCUACACUCUAUAUUUUACCAAUGGUAAACCUGCUAGCUUAUUUGGGCUAACAUAUAACACUCUUUCUCUUUUUCUGUCUAUGAGUACUGAGGCUGGUUCCCUGACCUGGCUAUGCGCUCAAACAAGAGCAAAAAAACCCCUGACUACCUUUCCUAACGCGUUCAUGAGCCUGUAGGGCUGAUAUCAAACUUCUGGGUAUGCUAUACUGUCCCCUCAAAGGACUAUCUCUGACCCAUCCGAGCCUCUGAACUCUGAACUUUCCUACCUUGUCUUUGCAGACUUAGGUAGUACCUCGAGUAGCUAGCCAAUCCGCCCUAGGUUGACAUCACCAGUCACCCCUAGAACCAUAAGGUCAGGUGGAAGGCAUCUACUACUCACAACAAACUCUGAACUGAACCGACAGACUGACUCUGCCACAGAUGGAUCACACUCGGGUCUACCAACCUAAAGAGAACACUCUAAGCCAGAAGUUGUCAAACCCUCCUCUAUCUAUGGCUCUCAAAACCACAGGGAAAGAAACAUCAGGGUCCACUAUACCCUACACAUCUGAACACCCUCAAGUGAACAUAUCUGACGUCACCGUGUUCGAUGUGUUAGCCUCCUACUGAGUCAGGAUGAAGAUCCAAGCUAAAGCUAACGACUCUUCCCUCGGGAACUGACCAAAGAAAAGGAGAACUCUCUCCUCCUGCCUCAACCACUGUCCUGAAACAUGGCUAGAGCUACGGGCUGAGCCACACUACUAGAAGUCAUCUGCUGGGACUGUGCCAAUCAGGGCCGCAGUAGGACACUCACACAAUAUGAGUCCUUCCUGCUCGCAUCUAUACAUGCCGUAGUCCCAUACCAUCAGACUACUUUUGUGUACACUCCACGCCUUACGUAGUCAGAACAAUCUGAACUAGAGCUCAAUCGCCAUCUAAUCCCAGACUAAACUAAAAUCUCUUUCUAAACUUUCGUCCUUUACAUUUCUUCGAUUCUGUUCUUUCUCUGCUCUAUGCUACCUCAUUUACUCUUCUCUUCGCUUACUUUUCUCUUACUUACUUUGAUUCUUUUUUUCUUACUCCUCACUUUCUUACGCUAUUCUCUGCCUUAUUUCUUUACUUGGAGAUGAGAGAUCACUCUCUCUCUAUCUGGAUUUAUAAAAUCCACGGCUAUAGCUCUCGAGCUCUUUCCUGGCGUACUAACCUUUAACGACUCACUUGUCUCUGAACCUUUAUCUCUGACCAUCUAACUCUAUUACCCUUUACUCUUCUCACAUCAACUGAUAUUCUAUUCAUGUCCAGAAAACCAUAUACAUCAGAACACUCAAAAGUGAGCUUACCUGGCACCACUGUGUUCGGUGUGGCUGUCUCUGGUUGAACCUGGGUGAAAAUCCGAACCGAAACUAACAGACUUCCACUUAAGGAACCUCCUGAAGAAGGGACUACCCCUCUUUCUCUACCUCUGCCCUGCACCGAGGCUGGAGCUUCUGGUGGAAUUAUAUUGUCUGAGGAUGUCUGCGGAAACUGUGCUGACACGGUCAUAGUGGGACACUCCCGUGCCAUGUGCCCCUCCUGUCCGCACCUGAAACAUGCUGUUGUCCCAGCCCGACAGACUCCUUUGUGCCUCCUACCACACUUCGCACAUCUAGAACUAUCCCAACCAGAACUCGAACCCUCGCAACAACCCAUGCCAAACUUUACCCUAGUCCAAAACUCUCUUUUCUUUGACCCUUUCAGGCCUCUCACUUUCUUUUUCUUCUAUGCAGCAGCCUCACCCAAAGGGAAACGGUCACUGUUCUCUGGGUAAGUUUCUACACUCAUGUUUUCUGUCUGCUCUAGCUGCUCACAUUCACUCUCUUUACGCUCCCUUGAGCUCUCUGGAUAAGCCCAUCCUGCAAACUCUGUAGCAAACUUCUCCCAGGAUAAGCUUUCUACCCUCGGGUCCACAUACUGGGUGAACCAUUCCCUUGCCUUCUCACUUUUCAAUGUGACCCCUGCCAUCUGAAUGGCUCUACGCUCACUGGCUCCCAACUCGUCAGUUAUCAUCUUAAUCGUUCGAAGAUACUCAACAGAGUCAUCACCAGUCUCAAAUUUGGGAACAUCCAACCUCAAAUAGUCUGUCAUCUGCACCAUACUUCCUCCAGGUGAACUAGGCUUGGGUGUUUGGACAACUGGGGUUACUGGUUCUACUGAUGGUGGAGGAGGUGCAACUUGCCCUGGGUUACCAAAGAGGGGUGGGAACAUGGGAUACUGUGGAUAUGACGGGUAAAAGGAAGGAUAGGGCAUAAAGGUGGGAUAUGGGUUAUACCUAGGAAACUCUGAUGUACCUCUCAUCAAGUACUCUGCCCCCCACGGGUAGGGUGGAUACUGAGGUGGAACAAAUCUCGAGGCCUGAGUGCCUCCUUGGGACUCACCCAUAUCUCCUCCCAACCUACUUCUGCUAAAGCUACCAUCUCUACUCUGCUCAUCCUCCUCUAUUUCUCUCAUAAACCCUGACAUACCACUCUGAACGACUCCCCUUCUACUCUCAUCAACAGACCUUCUAGGGUCUCUUGAUGUACCUUCUCUGCUUAAGCUAUCUGAUGUUGCCCUUUGCAGAACGGGGAGAGAUGGGCAUCCAUGUCCUCAUUCUCCGGCGGAGCUCCAGUCAAUCUAGCAGAUCGACGAGUUCCUCUCAUCCUGCCGCUGAAAAGCACAACAUCACACAAACAUAGCAUCAAAUGAUCCAUGUGAAGAAAACACAUGAAUCUGUAGCACAUAUCAAACAUAUCAAUAAUGCACAUGCAGCUCAUCAUGGCAUUUCAUAUCAUCAUGCAAGAUAGGACUCCACAUCCUAUCCUAGUGGACAUGAUUUGACCUAUUGUGCUUACCCUCCUAUACAAGACAACACCUCUUUCUGAUGUGGGAUAUCUCUAGUCCUGGAGCAUCUUUGCUCAACACAUCGUACUCUUGAGGCCCUAUGCUCUGAUACCAAUCUGUAACGACCCGAAAACUGGCACCCCGCUGUAACGGCCCGAACCAUCACUGGCACUAGGAUCCAGAUCGGCUUAAGGCCGCCGGGACUUGUAGCAAGCCGACUAUACUCUCUGUGUACCUGAUAAAAUCCCAUACAUGAUACAAAACGACUCAACAAUCCUGUAAAACUCUGUAGGCUUAACUACUGCUACUCAGAUAUGUCAAUCUGAAAUGGCCCUCAGGGCCUAUACCAGGGACUACUAUCUGCUGUGAUUCAAGGGAUUUAAACCCUUUUAAUCUGUAACACAUCCCACUGGUAGCUCAUCGAAGCCAUACAUUAAGCCUAACUCACACAUUUCUCAUCAAGAAACGUAAAACAGGAUUCAUGUACAAGGGAUUAAUCAUACAUCACACUAUAGCAAUGACACUAGGGAAAGCACAAGUCUAUCAAGUAUAUUCUAUACAUUACAUUACAACGACGCUGUUAAGUACAUCAUGUCCACUAUGCUAUUACAACAUACAUUCAUGCAUAACUUUCCUCUGUACUAUUGCUGACCUUGACUUCCCAUAGCUAUCUCAAGACCUGCAAAACUGGGGUUAAGGGAGUGGGAUGAGCUCUAGAGCCCAGUGAGGAGGAACAAUAAAACAAUUCAUUAAUUACAUGUUUUCAUGAAAUGCAUCACAUCACAAACAUAUCAUCUCACGGAUGAAUUUGUCACCAAUAACCCUCAACUACAUGUUAUAAUAUGACCAACUGUGCCAAGGAGACUAUGUCAUCACCUGGUCUACUCUUGUCUCUGCUCUGAUAUCAUAACAUGACCAACUGUGCCAAGGAGACUAUGUCAUCACCUGAUCUACUCUUAACUCUGCUCUGACUAUAGUACCAGGAGCGACCUGGCCUAUCCAGGGGCGACCUGGUAUGGCUAUCUCAUGCCAUAACUCUGUAUCUGCUCUCUAUUAAGGGCUAAGGAUCAUCCAACAUUCAUCCACAGGAACAACAUCUUAUGCAAUGCAUCAUAUUCGUGAAGUCUAAUGCAACACAACCUAAUACAAAACAUGGCAGGUUAUGAUGCAUGGAUCAUGCUAGAACCGUGUCAUUUCUCAAGAUAAAAUAUGAAGUUUAGUUCCACUCACCUGUAGCCUCUGCUUGGCUAACUCUGGGCUACCUCUAACUCUGAAGCAGCUACUACUGCUAAACACCUCGGGUCCUCGGGUCCAAUCCUACAAUGAAGGACACAAAUGAGGCACCACACAUACUCUAUGCAACUAAUAAAACAACUCCCCAAAACCCCUCUAGAACACCUCAAAACAUGCAUGCAAAACAAGCAAAGGAAGGCUGGACAGGGCACCUUCGGCAGCACCUUCGGCGGCCGAAUGUCUCGUCCAGAGACGAAACUCAAGCACCUUCGGCGGCCGAAUCUCUACUUUCGGCUGCCGAACCUCAAAACUCUCGGGGGCAAGCUGUGGCAGCCAAAGUCACCAUCCAAGGGGUUCGGCGGCCGAAUGCUCCUUCGGCUGCUGAACCUAAGUUCAUCCAGAACUCAGCCCCGACGGCAAGCUCCCUCCUUCAUCCACUUCUAACUCUCAAAACAUGCAUAACUCCUCCCUCAACUCACAUAUACUUAAGUAUAUGUUCAAAGGGGUCUAAACCUACCUAACAACCCCAACACAAACAACAAACAUACACAUAAGCAUGCUUACACCAUUAAAACAUCAAAAACUAAACUUUAAAACCUAUAUAUGCAACUCUACCCUUAACUUCUUUAAACGUUUUAUAAAUCAGUAAAAGCAGUUCAAAACCUUCCCUUACCUUCUGAAGAAGAGGAACAACCUGAAAGCUGAUCUAUGGACCAACACCUCUUCAAAAGCUCCAAACCACCAAACCUCUCCUUUUGACCCAAAGCCUUCAAAAUCACUUGCAAAAUAACCAAACCUGUGCAUGGGGUGAUAAACCCCUGCAGAUGACUCAUGAGAGACGUGGCCUAAUCCUCUGUCUGUGAUGCCAAAUCAACACCUGGCCAUUUCACCGACGGAGGAGUGCACAAUAGCUGGCUGACCAACUCAACUUCGGCUGCCGAAUCGCAUGCAAAACCAUGCAACAUUCGGGGGCCGAACUUUAACGUCGGGGGCCGAACAUUAGGCACUUUCGGCGGCCGAACUUUACCUUCGGCAGCCGAACAUGGCAAAAUGCCUCCUUGGCCUUUUCUCUUCAAAACUCAAUACCUUUAAAACACUUAAAAACAUGUUAGAAAACUUUCUCUUACCCUUCCAGAAACCUCUGACAUCCUCGAAUUCCACCGGACGGUAGGAAUUCCGAUGUCUGAAUCUAGCCGGGUAUUACAAUAAUGCUAAAGAGUAUCUCUCUGGGGAAUUUCAAUCUUAUUUGUUACAAAAAGGGAUUCUUCAUCAGACCUCUUGUGUUGCCACUCCUUCACAAAAUGGAGUUACUGAAAGAAAAAAUCGGCAUCUUCUUGAAGUAGCCAGAGCCCUCUUAUUCCAAAUGAAGGUACCUAAAUGUUUUUGGGCUGAUGCUGUAUCCACUACUUGUUUUUUGAUCAAUCGCAUGCCUUCCUCCAUCCUUCAUGGUGAUAUCCCUUAUAACAUUUUGUUUUCCACUAAAUCUUUGUUUCCUAUUGAGCCACGUAUCUUUGGUUGUACUUGUUUUGUUCGUGAUGUUCGUCCACAGGUUACUAAAUUGGAUCCCAAAUCACUCAAAUGUGUCUUCCUUGGCUACUCUCGACGUCAGAAAGGGUAUCGUUGUUUUUCUCCUGAUCUGAAUCGGUAUCUUGUAUCUGCGGAUGUAACAUUCUUUGAGUCCACUCCGUUUUUUCCGCCAUCAUCUAUUUAUAAUACAAAGGAGGAGGAAGAUGAUAUUUUGUUAUACACUGUUCGCUCUCUGUCUCCUCAGACUACUCCUACACCUUUCGCUCAUGUGCCAGGUCGCCCUCCCAUCUUUAAUGUAUAUUCCAGACGCUUAGAGGACUCUGACUCCGUUUCGCUACCCGCUUCUUCGUCGACUGAUCCUGCUCCCACUGAUCCUUCACUGUCUGAUUUGGAUUUGCCCAUUGCUCUUCGCAAAAGUAAACGUACUUGCACUUAUCCUAUUUCAUCUUGUGUCUCUUAUGAUCAAUUAUCCUCCUCUUCUCGUUGUUUUGUUACUGCUUUAGAUUCUAUUUCAAUUCCCAAAACUGUUAUUGAGGCUUUGUCCCAUCCUGGUUGGCGUGCUGCAAUGGAAGAGGAAAUGAUGGCCCUUGACACUAAUGGUACUUGGGAGUUGAUGUCCUUGCCCCCAGGAAAGCGGGCUAUUGGGUGCAAAUGGGUGUUUGCAGUGAAAGUAAACCCUGAUGGAUCUAUUGCUCGCCUCAAGGCCCGUUUAGUGGCCAAAGGUUAUGCACAAACUUAUGGAGUUGACUAUUCUGAUACAUUCUCCCCAGUUGCCAAGCUCGCAUCUGUCCGAUUGUUUAUUUCCUUGGCGGCUACUCAUGAUUGGCCUUUGCAUCAACUGGAUAUUAAAAAUGCUUUUCUUCAUGGUGAUCUUCAGGAGGAGGUUUAUAUUGAGCAACCACCUGGUUUUGUUGCUCAGGGGGAGUCAGGUAAGGUUUGUAGACUUCGAAAAUCCCUUUAUGGCUUGAAACAGAGUCCUCGGGCAUGGUUUGGCAAGUUUAGUGAGGUGGUCCAACAGUUUGGAAUGAAGAUGAGUAAGUGUGACCACUCAGUGUUUUAUAGAAAUUCUGAUAGUGGAGUAAUUCUGCUUGUAGUAUAUGUGGAUGAUAUCAUCAUUACAGGAAGUGACAAUGCUGGCAUCACAUCCCUAAAAGAAUUUCUUAAAACACAGUUUCAUACAAAGGAUUUGGGUUCCUUGAAAUAUUUCUUGGGAAUCGAAGUUAUGCGGUGUAAGAAAGGCAUCUUCUUAUCUCAAAGAAAAUAUGUUCUUGAUUUGUUGGCAGAAACAGGAAAAUUAGGUGCUAAGCCUUGUAGUGCCCCAAUGACUCCUAACCUUCAACUUACCACAGAAGAUAGUGAGCCAUUUGCAGAUCCUGAAAGGUAUAGAAGAUUAGUUGGCAAGCUGAAUUAUUUGACGGUGACUCGUCCUGAUAUUGCAUAUUUAGUGAGUGUGGUAAGCCAGUUUAUGUCCUCUCCUACUGUUGCCCAGUGGGAUGCUCUGGGACAGAUUCUUUGUUAUCUUAAAGGAGCCCCAGGGCGAGGUCUAUUUUAUGGUAACCAUGGGCACUCAAAUAUUGAAUGCUUUUCUGAUGCUGAUUGGGCAGGCUUGAAAGUUGAUAGGAGGUCAACUACUGGGUAUUGUGUUUUUGUGGGAGGUAACUUGGUCUCAUGGAAAAGUAAGAAGCAAAAUGUGGUCUCCCGUUCUAGUGCUGAAUCUGAAUAUCGAGCCAUGGCACAAGCCGUUUGUGAAAUCUUGUGGGUACGUCAACUGUUGGAAGAAGUUGGGUUCACAAAUUCGGUACCUGCUAAGUUGUGGUGUGAUAAUCAAGCAGCUAUCCACAUUGCCUCCAAUCCAGUAUUUCACGAGAGGACUAAACAUAUCGAGAUUGAUUGUCAUUUUAUUCGUGAAAAGGUCCAACAAAAGAUAAUAUCAACAGGAAUAUCCGAAUUGGAGAACAAUUAGGAGAUAUUUUCACUAAAGCUCUAAAUGGGACUCGAGUUGAUUAUAUAUGUAACAAGUUGGGCAUGAUUAACAUUUAUGAUCCAACUUGAGGGGGAAUGUUAUAAGUUAUAGAAAGUAAAUAUGUUAAUAUAGGAAGUAAAUAUUGAUAGAUGGGUCAGUUGCUUAAUUUUAGGGAUUGUAUAAUCAUAGGCUUGAUUUUCCUUCCUAUUUAGAUACCGUCUCUCAUGUAUAAAUAGGUUGUAAUCUCUAUUGUGGAAAAUAACAAAUAUUAUCUCUCUACAAGCCAUUUUGCAAUCAUGCAAUGCGAUGGUGGUUUCAUACCUGUCCUGCCUAGCUUGUUGUUGGAAAGCCUGUUUGAGAUGGACACUCAUCUCAUAGGCCUCAAGGUGCUCCAGAUCCUUCUGAAGUUCUGGGCACAUAGUUGCCAACAUAAGACAUCCAAUGUCAUUAGAAUCAUCCAUAUGCUUCUUAUGCUUGUUCUUAACAGCAUUAGUAGCAUCAGCAGGAGGUGGUUCUGGGAUAGCUUCGUCAAGCACAUAGGACUUUUUCUCUUACUUGAGAAUAAUUCUCAAGUUUCUAAACCAGUCAAUAAAAUUAGUUCCAUUUUCUUUCAUUUUAUCCUUCUCAAGGAUAGAUCGCAGUGAUAAGGUGGAAUUGUUAUUAGCAGCCAUAAUUAUCUACAAAAAUAUGCAAAUAUAAUCAAUUUAGCAAAUUAACAUUGAGGUGAUAAUAAUCUCUCACUAAAAUACAACCCUCAAAAUAAUAAUAAUAUUUUAAUGGGCUAAGAUCCAUAUUUCACCUAAUUCUAAGUCAGCUUUGACAUGACGCUUAAAAUUAAGCUAUUUAGGUAGGUAACCCCUUACCAAUUACAUCUAAUGUAACUCUUAGAUUAUGAGGUAUUGACAUCAUAUGUCAAAUGCAUGUUAUACCCCGUCUAAUGCCUUAGGCCCAAAACCGUUUUGAUAGCCUAAUUAAGCUCAACCAAAAUUAAAUAAAUAAGUAACCAUUACUCAUUCUAUCUUACUAGGAUAACCUGAUACACUUUGCUUUGGCAAAACCUGCAUUUUGGUGAUCUUAGUCUUGAUAGUUUUUAAUAUAUGAGUGGCAUUAAACUUAAAAUUUUAGAGUAAGGGUUCAUCUUUUAAUUUUAAUUAUUUUGUCUUGCAUAUGUAUAUUAUAACAUCUUAUAUGCAUACAUAUAUAUAGACAAUAAUACAUAGUAUCUCAUACUAUUAAUAUGACAAAAUAAUAAAAUAUAGUUAUUUAAAUCUAAUUUAAAGACUAAAAAUAAUAAUAAUAGUCAUUUAAAUAUAAUUUAAAGAGUAAAAGAAAUAAUUUUCCUUUUAAAAAAAAAUUAUUUUCUUAUUAUUAUUAUUUUUUUUAUAUUAUUUUCAGGGGCAAAAUUGUAAUAUUGGGGCAUCAUCUUCUUCCCCCAGCUCCUGCCCGAAUGUCCAGAAGCCCGCCGGACUCUCCGGCCGCUGCCCCCACCGUCGGGCGAACCACCGAUGCACGGCCCACCGGCGCGCGAGGCACUAGUCGCGCGAUCCCCGGGCGCGCUACCCCUUGGGUCGCGCGACCCUCGGGUUGCGCGACCCAUCGGUCGCGCGACCCACUGGGAGGCGCGACCCCCGGGUUGCGCGACCCACAGUUCGCGCGACCCACGGGGAGGCGCGACCCACCGAUCGCGCGACCCACAGGGAUGCGCGACCCACGGGGAGGCGCGACCCUCCGAUCGCUCGAUCCUCCGGGGCCGGCCUUCUCAGUCACUGCGUUCCAGGCAGCAACGCCGGCCAAGCUAUCGACGGCCGAAGAACCAGUCGUUCCUCGCCGGCGGCGGCAAAGACACUCUCUGCAGGUGGUCGUGAGCGUCACACGCCCUCCACGUCCGCCCUUCAGCCUCGCCAAUUUCUGGGUUCACGAUGACUGCUCAUCGUGAAUCCAGUUGCGAAAUUUUUUUUUUUUAAUUGUUGUUGUUUUAAUUUUAAGAAUUAAAACUUAAAACAACGAAUCAAAACAAUUUUGAUUCUAGAUGUGAAAGAAAAAUUUUAAUUUAAUUUUUCUAACAAUCUAAAUGAUCCAAUCAUUCAUCCAUAAAUAUAACCAUAAUUAUCAUGCCAUUCUAAUAAACAUAUAUCGCAUAUAUAAUAUCAAUCAUGACAUAAUUAAUUUAAAUGAAAAACACAAGUAGACUCUGAUACCACUGUUGAGAAAUUCCGAGAUUAAUUUCAAUCCAAUUGCGCAGCAGAAAAAUAAAAUUUUGGAUUUCCUUUUCCAGAAUCCGAGUGUUUCGUUUAAUUAAUAAGAUGGAUAUGAGACUAACCUGUUAAUCUCGUCAAGAAGAUAUAAUGACGGACUGAUGAUGCUGCCUUUUCAAACGAACACCCUCUAUGGUAUCCACACGAACGUCUUCUAUCCUUCUAGAGUGCUAGCUCUCUAAAAAAUGGAUAGAUUAUGUGCUCCACAAUCUGCAAUCUUUUAGACUGAGUUUUCUCAAAAAUCUCAUCACUCCUAAAUUCGUAGUAAGAGUAUUUAUAGGUUUCAGUCUUUUAUUUUCACAUAUUUUUCCCACAAUUCUUAGAAUUGUACAACUCUUUUCCUAAAAGAAUUGUACAACUCUUUUCCUAAAACAGUUGUAUUCAGAACCCACUAUCACAAUCUCACAGAUACUCAAAUAUUUUUAUGUGAUAGAGUCCUUUAUUUGUAACAGUUACAGAUAGACUGCAGAUCUUUUAAAUAUUAUUAUCUCAUAAUAAUAAAUAAUUAAUAAUAAUAACACUUUAUUAUUAUUAAUUAAUAUUAAUAAUAAUAAUAUUUUAUUAUUAUUAAUUAUACUAAUGGACUUCUAGCCCAUUAAUAUAGCACAUCAACAACGUUCUUGUGUGUGACCCAAUAGGCUAAUAUUAAUUGGCAAUAGGCCCAGUCCAACAAGGCCUAUAAAUCAUAAGUGGCCUCUAGCAAGACAUUAUGACUACCCAACUAAUAUGAGGAUCAAUAGUCCGAUAAAGCCUAUUAAAUAGAACAUGUAUUAAUCCCUUUGUCUCACGAUAUCUAGUUUGAACAUAAGUCAUGGUCAAUGUCAAACUUAUAAUGUUCAAACUUAUGAUUUCUCGAUCUCUAAGUAGACUGAUAAAUUCAAAUGAUAUUGAUAACACUGUCAAUUCAUUUGAGCACGGCCAUGCAUUUCUCAGUCUCACUUAUCGAGGGGCCCAGAAGAUAUCUCUUUUAUAGAGAGGGACAAAUCCUAUCUUGAUUGUUCAUUAUCCUCUACAUAAUUUCUAUUAUACUCAAUCAUAACCUUUAUGAUUGUCCGAUUAAAGACAACGUUUGAUUAUGUCAAAACAUAAUAGUCCUUAUGUUGGAAACUAUGACAAUCUCAAGUCAAAGGAUUAAGACAUAACUAUUUGAGAUUCACUUAUGACAAUAACCCAUGUAGUGAUCUCAGUGCGGGUCCAUCCAAUACUUUGUUCUCUAACAAGUAUCUAUGAUUAUUGAUUAUAUCAACAUAUACAUAAUCAUCUCAUGAUUAUCAAUCAAUAAUCAUACUAGUUAUAUAUUUAUUAUUAUCAACAUAAUAAUAAGUAAUCAGGGAUGAUAAUCAUUAUUAUGUAACAUGCAAACAAAUAAUAAUGAUAAUAAAAAACCUCGAAAAUGACAUACAAAUAGGUCCAAGAUAAUGGCCUGGGGCAUAUAUACUAACAGUAAUUACCUGCAACCUCAGAUGCAAUUGCUCUUUUAAUCCUUUUGCACGUGGUUAGGCCAACAACAACCUUCAACUCUCCUUUCACCAUCGAUUGUAGUUCUUUAGAUCUCAGCUUAGGAUUUUAGAGCAAAAUUGAUUUGUAGUGAUUGAUCAAAUAUUUAGCAGUUAAGUCUUAUUCUUAAACACCCUAAAACACUUAUGUUGUGGAAUGUAUGUUUUGACUUUAAAGUCACCGCUUCUUGUUUCAAUGCUAGCCAUUACAAUCCAUGGAUAAUCUUCUUUACAAACUGCUCAAACUCUAGUUGGUUCAUUCCUUAUAAAAUGAACUUCAACAGUUUUGUUUGCCGCGUACUUAGUUAUUGCUUCGUUGAACUCAACAUUGUUAGCAAACACCGUCCCCAAAACAAAAGAAGGCAUUUCACAUUUAGGAUCAUAAACCAACCUUGUGGAUUUUGUCCUUCGAAAUUCUACUCCACCAUCUUCGUUGACAUCCUCCUUUAAAAUACCUUCAUUGCUAGAGUCAAAGUAUUCAGUAUCACUCCCAACUGCCUCAUUGGUAUCCCUUACUUCCAUCAGAUUUUCUCCUUCUUGUUGCUGAAUCUGUUUGCAAGUCGUCAUAUUCUUCAUCCGUAUCAUCACUCAUGAAAUUAUCAUAUUCAAUAUUGUUAAAAUUAGGAUUUGAGUCAUCUUGUUGGAUAUUAUUGCCUAUAGUUUUCAUACUCUUUUUCCUUGCAACAACUAAUUCUUCAUCAGCAAAUUCUGAUUCACAAUCCUUUGCAACCACACCCUCAUUAUUUGCAAACACAUUAACAUUUGGGAUUAAUUCUUCAUAGGUAGAAUCAACAGAAUUAGAGGCACCUCAAUGGUACCAUGAAAAAAUUAAAUGGUUAAUCAAUUAAUGCUUAUUUUUUUAUUAAAAAAAACUAUUUGUUAACUAUUCUCUUCAGAGUUCACUUUUUUAUUUAUAUUUCUCAUUUUUAUUAAUUUCUUUUUAUAUAUAAUUGUUUACAUGAAAUUACUGAUCUAUUAUAAACGUCUCCUUCCUCAAGACCCAGUGAAAGCAAAUAUGAUUAAGAUAAUAAAAUUUAGUCUUACACUAGAUUUUUUUGGUCAAGUAAUAAAGUUGAAUCCCUAAUGAAGUUGCCGAUUUAGUGUAUUAUUAGUGUUUAUUAUUUUCAUUUGAUUUUUUUUUUUCGAAAGUUAAAUAGAUUAUAUUCAUUUUACAACAAGUUCAUCACAAUACAACAGUUUUAGGGUUCUCCGAGGUCCACUGUUGAAAACCCUAGACACGAAAGAAGCAACGGGAGAAUGUCAUUGCACCCUCAACUACGGUAAAGUCCAACAGAAAGAAGAUAACAUUCAGAUUACUUAAAGAAGCACCUCACCUCUUGAGAAAGACCCGACUGCAGAUCGAUAAACAAACAACGCAAUCACACCCGAAGCUUCACAGAAGCAUCAAAGCCAACGAUGGGGAAGUGAGGAGCACCAACACCAAAGCCAAAAAGGAGGGGUCCCAACAAACUUCCUUCCAUUAGACCUUAUAACUUAUACAUAAUAUAAUAAUUUUAAUUUCAUAUAGAGAUAUCACAUUAAUUACUUUCAAUUCAUAUAUUCCCUCUAUUUAAGUCAGUUUCUACAUGACGACUAACAAAACAAUAAAAUCAUCUAAAUUAUAAUAAAAUACCCCCUUAACUAAAAUACCUUUAGUUUUUCUGUAGAUUUCCAUGCUCACCUGGAAUUUCAAUAGAGAGGAAGAGAGGGAGAGAGUGUUUAAUAAUCUUACAACUAAGGGAGUCUUCAACGCAUGUCAAUUUUGUACAUUUUAAUAAUCUUACAAGUAAGAACCGAGUCCCCCAAGAAUCAAGUGAUUGUCAUUCUUCAAUCCAAUUCUCUCUCUUGUACGGCAACCUAACUUCAAAAAGUGCAAGUUUAUCAUACACGAACAAAGGUGUCAAAAAUCCCCCUCCGACUGUAGACUUCUUACCCAGAAUUAAUGUCAGGCACGUCAAGAUCUUAGGCAUGGUUUAUUAUGGUACGCAAAGCUUUUUAAUGACUCCACGGUCAACGUGUUUCCUUACUGGUUGCAAUUUGAUUUCAUAAAGCUUUGGCCACAAUUUUCCAGUAACUGCAGACAUAUACAAUAGGACAGGCCAUGAAAACGAUAUCCCAAAAACAUAUACAGAAAGUACAAGUGCUCUUAUCACACAUGAGCUUGUUUUCAGUACAAGUCUUAUCAAGGCAUCAUUAAUCAUAUGUUACCAAAUUUCAGGGGCGUCUGCGUCUGUGUCCCUCCUAUAUAUAUAUAUAUAUAUAUAUAUAUAUAUAUAUAUAUAUAUAUAUAUAUAUAUGACGUCCAUAUAUGAAGACAGAGAUAUAGUAGUAGAAGGCUAGUAGCUUACCGAAAAUCCUGUUGUCAUUGCUAUCCCAUGCAAUACCAUUUAAAACAUCAAUGUCCUAUAAUGUUUGGAAGUUUCAAACAUGUCAAAUAAUGAAGGAAAUAAUACUAUUCAAAUAAUCACUAUAGUCAAUGGCAGAUCCAAAAAUUUAACUCAGAGGAUUCAAUUUUAUUUUGGCAACGAUGCCUCUAAUUUCAUUUAUUUGGAAAAAGAAAAUAUCUAUAUGAGUAACAAAGACAAGUGAAUCAAUUUGCCUGCAUCAAAUGUUAAAUAUGGUCUUUAGGUUUUUUUUUAUACUUUUAAUAAUUGAUUUUUGUCUAUAUUUUAAAUAUUUUUUAAAUUUAAAUAAUCUAACACAUUAUCUAUUAAACUAAAAUUUAUAUUCCUAAAUUGAAAUAGUCCAUAAAAUUCAUUAAAUAAUCUAACAAUUAUACAUAAAACUAUUUUUUAAAAAUUUUAAAAUUUAUUUUUCUAAAUUUAAAUAAUCUAACAUAUAAUUUCAAUCAAUAAUAGAAGUAAAUAAAAAUAACUAUAACUUCUUAACAAUAAAAAAUAGUGUAUGAAAAUAAAUAAAGCAAUGUGUGAAUAACUUAUCUUAUGAAUAUUUUAAAAAGAAAAAAAAUACUUGAAGUUGAAAUUAUGAAGAUUAAAAAGUAAAUUUUCUAGAUUAAAAAGAUCAUAAAGAAGGAUAUAUGGAUGAGGAUAGCUGCUGUAGAAAUAGUAUUUAGCGGAAGGGCAGUUGGGUUUCAUUUAUGGAAGAUUCCUUGAGCUUUUAAAAAAUUUAUUAAUUCGUGUCUAUACUAAAAUUAUUUAAUUAAAAUAUUCUUGUAUAAUCUUGAUAAAAGUAACUAAAUGGUAUAAAUAUAUAAAUAUUCAAAGUAUGUCAAUCUAUUUUUUAAUGGAAGGAAUAAAGGAUUUGAUUUUAUAAAAUAUAAAAAUUUAGUUGAUUAAUUUUAAAAUAAGAAUAAAUUAAUAAAUUUUUAAAAAAUCUAGGAACUUAAUAGCAUUUCUUCCUUUAUUUAUUUAAAAUUUAAAGAAAAUUUACAUAAGUAAUCCCAUGUAACCUUGGCCCUAGCUAUAUCCGCUGUUGUGAGUACGAGAUUUAAAAAAUAAAGUUUGAUGAUUAAAAAGAAAAUUUUGUAGAUUGGAAAAUAAUGGAAGAGACGACAAUAAGAGGGUGUGAGAGGGGCUGCUGUGAGGGAAAUUUGAUGGGAAAAACAUCUAAGAGGAGUGGAGUUUAUUUUAAUAGAAUUUGGUGCGAAAUUAUACAACUACCCCUAAAAAUUUGUAAAAUUUCAGGGGUACUUAUGGCCCACUUAGCCCCCCUCUCCCUCCGCCACUGACUAUAGUCCACUGAAAAAGCAAACAGAAAAGGAAGAAAGGGAUUUAAAAACUGCAGUAAAAGUCUUAUUCUCUCAUCUAGCAGCAAAUUAAACAUGGCAUACAUUACAUUAGAAAAACAUUUCUAAACAAUUAUUUUGUGAAUAAAUGCUUACUGUUUGCCCAGCUGCUAUCAAUCCCUUCCUGUCAAACACAAAAGAAAAUGAGAAAGAAUCAUUCUACAGAACUCAAGCAACACACAAAAAAAAUAAUGAUCUCAUGCAUAGCUAGAGAUAAAUAUCAGCUAAAAAAAUAUAGAGAACAAGCAAAUGACAAACACCACCUUAAAUUUUCAAGAAGAAUCCAACCAACCACAGUGCCAUCUUUGUGUGAGAUUCUUGCAAUGCAAUCAGUCUACAUAACAAGAAAACCAGCUUUAGAAAGACACCAAACACAAGUUGGUCAGCUAUAUUGGCUUUCGUAACAAAGACCAAGGAUCAAUCUUCUCUUAGUCAAGGUUGAGGGUCUAAUGGAGGGAAGCCCAGAGAGAGAGAGAGAGAGAGAGAGAUAAGAGACAGAACGGCAGAUAGAUAUCCAGGCAAUGGAGAACUAGAGUAAAAAAAGGAGGGCAGGUCUGAGGAUAAUAUAUCAUUUCAUAGAGUUAUGGAGGAAAAUUCAAAAUGUUGCAGGGCCAAGGCCAACAGCAAAAUAUUUUUGUAAUUACUCUGUGGGUCAAAACACAAACUUUAGAUGGCUCCCCAGCGAACUAACACAGUUCUGUCCUGGUCUAGGCAGAAGAAAUCCCUCAAAAUAAAAAAUUGCUUCUGCCUAUGAUAUGAUACUUCUUUGCAGAAGUAAAAUACUAGCCAAUGCCUUACUAAAAUGCCCGGAGGGCCGGAAGCAACUAGUAAUGGAAAAUCAUCAAAG